CCACUUGAAGAUUUCUGGCUUCACCCCUGACACAACCACAGCUGUAGACAUCACUGAUACCACAGGAACUGCUGUAUGUGUGGGUUUGUCUCUUAUCAAUCAUGAUUAGAUUUGGGAGUGGAGAUCUUUCCAGGGCAAGAUCUGCCCACAUAUCAGGUGGUGUUGCUGUAUAAAUUACAGGAGGCAGCAGUCCUUUCCAGCUUAUUCUGGACAUCCUACUGAAAGAUUAACAUAAGAAAAGUUUUCCAGGUCUGUGGUGAAUCCUCAGGUGAGGAUGCCAUGGAGCCGGUUACAACACUAAUGAAGAGGAGCUGGAGUUGAGAUGCUGCUCCCAAGGGCAGAACAUCUGGUCUGGUGCAACUCAGAGGAGGAACUCUGCAUUUCCUAGAGUCAUCUUCUUUGUUUUGUGCUAACUGACCAGAUGCA